UCCAGAGUUUACCAGAGAAAGGGGUGAAUGACUGACAAUACUGGUUAACUCUUGCAAUAGAGAGGUGGACAGAUCAGUGGUGAGAGAAAGAAGGUGUUGUGUAGCGAGGCCGCUGGAGAGGGGAGGCAUGCACGUGAGGCACACUCCAUACAUGGGCGAGUAUGGCCCCUGUACAGAGUUAGCAAGCUCUAAGGCCACGGAGACGAGGAGUGCCUGUGUUGUCAUCACUGCCUCCAUCAAAGCUACGUGACUCAUUUCCCAUGCCUAUUCUCUCUCUCUCUCUCUCUCUCUCUCUCUCUCUCUCUCUCUCUCUCUCUCUCUCUCUCUCUCUCUCUCUCUCUCUCUCUCUCUCUCUCUCUCUCUCUCUCUCUCUCUCUCUCUCUCCCCUCCCCCCCUUCCUCUCGCUUUCUCUAUCUCUCUCUCCCGCUGCUUCCUUGGUUUAGUGUUGCCUGUGUUGUGCCCGAAAACAGUGUUGUAGAUUUUAUUGCGCUGUGCCCGUAAUCAUUGAGUGACCGCCCUGUGCGUGUGUUGCCGCGUCAGGAAGGGAGUGUUGCGUCUCCAGGAGGGUCUUCCCCUUCCGAGUGGCGUCCGCGCCUGCUUCCUUCGUCAGGCACCUCCCGCCUCACUCCUUGCUUCCUCCCGUCUCCCAGAGUCUACACACCUGCAGUCUUGAGAUGCUGGUCGUGAACAAGCUGGCGACACGUUCUGGUGACCUCCCUAGCGUGCUCGUAAAACUGCUGUGCUAACUGUGUCCGCGCCACCACAGUGUUGUAAGUGGCUGGCAUGUUGAGACACCCCUCCACCUGUGCCUGCAACAGUAGUAGUAGUAGUAGUAGUAGUAGUGGUAGUAGUAGUAGUAGUAGUAAUUCAAUAAAAUAAAGCUGAAUAAACAAACAAACAAACAAACAAACACACACACACACACACAAUAAAAUAACAGAAUAUCAAGGAGUAAAAGUUGUAUUUGGCAGUGGUCAGAGGUGAGGUCAGCCAGGAAGGUGAGAGGUCAGUGGGAAGGGCUGCAGCCUGGGGUGGUACAGCCAGCACUGGGAGAGUGACCACAAGGAUGAGGGAGGGGAGGUCAAGAGGGGCAUGGGGGGUCAUGGCGAGGGGGACGCAGCAAGCGCACUGAGGACCGGUGGGCAGGACGACAAGUAGCAGACUGGGGCUUCAAAAAAUUUAGGCUGAGGAAAGAGACAGGAAGGAAGUGUGUGUGGAAGAGAGUGGUGGGUGAAUGGAGCAGCAUCACCAAGGAGGCUGUCAGUGGUGGUGAGUGGGGAGUCACCAGGGAGCUGUGGAGGAAGGCUGCCAACCACACAGAUGAGGCUAGCAGGCAGACACAGGCAGAUGUGUCUUGUGCUAGGCCUGCCACAUGUAGGCCUGCUGGCUUGCUGCAUCUGCCUGCCUCACCACUGCAAGUCAGCCACCAUUCUCAACCCUUCACCACCACCACCACCACUACCUACCCUGAGGUCACCGUCCCCGCCA